CUUUCAGCGAUGGAUAU
rnacentral:rRNA from 1 species